GCACAAGCGGUGGAGCAUGUGGUUUAAUUCGACGCAACGCGAAGAACCUUACCUGGGCUCGAAAUGUUAUGGACCGGGGUGGAAACAUCCCUUCCCCGCAAGGGGCCGUAAUAUAGGUGCUGCAUGGCUGUCGUCAGCUCGUGUCGUGAGAUGUUGGGUUAAGUCCCGCAACGAGCGCAACCCUUACCCCCAGUUGCCAUCAUUUAGUUGGGCACUCUGGUGGAACCGCCUCGGAUAACGGGGAGGAAGGUGGGGAUGACGUCAAGUCCUCAUGGCCUUUAUGUCCAGGGCUACACACGUGCUACAAUGGCCGGUACAAACCGUCGCAAACCCGUGAGGGGGAGCUAAUCGGAAAAAGCCGGCCUCAGUUCGGAUCGUAGUCUGCAACUCGACUACGUGAAGCUGGAAUCGCUAGUAAUCGCGGAUCAGAACGCCGCGGUGAAUACGUUCCCGGGC
rnacentral:rRNA from 1 species